rnacentral:tRNA from 1 species
GGGCUCGUGGUCUAGUUGGUUAUGACAUCGCCUUCACACGGCGGGGAUCCUGCGUUCGAAUCGCAGCGAGCCCA